AGCUCCAGUAGCGUAUAUUAAAGUUGUUGCAGUUAAAAAGCUCGUAGUUGGAUUUCUGGUUGUAGCGUUGGGCCCGCUCGGGUUACCGAUGUGAGUGCCUGUACGCUCCUUCCAUCCUUCUAGAGAACGGUUCUCUCCUUCAUUGGCAGUGGGAUCGCAAUCUAGAUCUUUUACUUUGAAAAAAUUAGAGUGUUUAAAGCAGGCUUGUGCUAUGAAUACAUUAGCAUGGAAUAAUAAUUUAGGACUUUAGUUCUAUUUUGUUGGUUUCUAGAACUGAAGUAAUGAUUGAUAGGGAUAGUUGGGGGUGCUAGUAUUCAGCGGCCAGAGGUGAAAUUCUUGGAUUCGCUGAAGACUAACUUAUGCGAAAGCAUUCACCAAGGAUGUCUUCUUUAAUCAAGAA
rnacentral:rRNA from 1 species